rnacentral:tRNA from 1 species
AUCUAAGUAGUUUAAUAUAAGAAUAAUAAUUUGUGAUGUUAUAGGUAUAGGUUUAUCUUAGGUA